CUUUGCACUACAUUCUCACGACUAAUGACAACCCUUAUCUUGCUUAUGCAGAUAAAGCCUCUCAUUAGCCGCGCGAACCUCUGUAAUGAAAGAUCCUAUUAACAACAAUACACUACUCUGUUUUGCUAAUGCUUCCUAGAAGAAAGGGGCCAAAAGAGGCCCCUUUCC
rnacentral:sRNA from 22 species